CGCUGGCGGCGUGCUUAACACAUGCAAGUCGAACGAUGAACCGCUUUCGGGCGGGGAUUAGUGGCGAACGGGUGAGUAACACGUGGGCAAUCUGCCCUGCACUCUGGGACAAGCCCUGGAAACGGGGUCUAAUACCGGAUAUGACUGUCCGCCGCAUGGUGGAUGGUGUAAAGCUCCGGCGGUGCAGGAUGAGCCCGCGGCCUAUCAGCUUGUUGGUGAGGUAGUGGCUCACCAAGGCGACGACGGGUAGCCGGCCUGAGAGGGCGACCGGCCACACUGGGACUGAGACACGGCCCAGACUCCUACGGGAGGCAGCAGUGGGGAAUAUUGCACAAUGGGCGAAAGCCUGAUGCAGCGA
rnacentral:rRNA from 1 species